rnacentral:rRNA from 1 species
CCUACGGGUGGCUGCAGUGGGGAAUAUUGGACAAUGGGCGAAAGCCUGAUCCAGCCAUGCCGCGUGUGUGAAGAAGGCCUUCGGGUUGUAAAGCACUUUCAGUGGGGAAGAAAGCCUUGGGGCUAAUACCCUCGAGGAAGGACAUCACCCACAGAAGAAGCACCGGCUAACUCCGUGCCAGCAGCCGCGGUAAUACGGAGGGUGCGAGCGUUAAUCGGAAUUACUGGGCGUAAAGCGCGCGUAGGCGGUCUGAUAAGCCGGUUGUGAAAGCCCCGGGCUCAACCUGGGAACGGCAUCCGGAACUGUCAGGCUAGAGUGCAGGAGAGGAAGGUAGAAUUCCCGGUGUAGCGGUGAAAUGCGUAGAGAUCGGGAGGAAUACCAGUGGCGAAGGCGGCCUUCUGGACUGACACUGACGCUGAGGUGCGAAAGCGUGGGUAGCAAACGGGAUUAGAUACCCUAGUAGUC